GCGGAUAUGGCGGAAUUGGCAGACGCGCUGGCUUCAGGUGCCAGUCCUUGCAAAGGGGUACAGGUUCAAGUCCUGCUAUCCGCACCA
rnacentral:tRNA from 1 species